AGCGGAGGAAAAGAAACCAACAGGGAUUGCCUCAGUAACGGCGAGUGAAGCGGCAAAAGCUCAAAUUUGAAAUCCUUCGGGAGUUGUAAUUUGUAGGUUGGGAGACCCCGCGGCUAGUGGCACCAAGUCCCUUGGAACAGGGCGCCUUAGAGGGUGAGAGCCCCGUAGGUACCACAACACCGUCUUGUGUCUCCUCUCCAAAGAGUCGAGUUGUUUGGGAAUGCAGCUCAAAGUGGGUGGUAAAUUCCAUCUAAAGCUAAAUACCGGCGAGAGACCGAUAGCGAACAAGUACAGUGAUGGAAAGAUGAAAAGCACUUUGAAAAGAGAGUGAAACAGUACGUGAAAUUGUUGAAAGGGAAGGGCUUGCAAGCAGACACGGCCUUCGUGCCGGGCCAGCAUCGGUUGCUAGGGGUGGAUAAGGAACAAGGAAUGUAGCUCCUCGGAGUAUUAUAGCCUUGCGCGAUACACCCACUGGCGACCGAGGCCUGCGGUAUUCUUUACCUAGGAUGCUGGCGUAAUGGUUGCAAGCCGCCCGUCUUG
rnacentral:rRNA from 1 species